GUGGGAGAAUUUUGAGCAAAAAAAGGAGCCGACUUGCCCCUGAUAUUUUGGAUGCUCCAGUGUGCUCAAAGGAUUGGAAUGACGCUCGGAAGAGAAGACAGGAGUUUAAUGAUGAAUAUGAGGAAGUCUUCUCAAGGUUCGAUGGCUAAAUUGUCACUGGAAGGUGAUUCCACUUUUUUGACAUGAAUCUCGCAGAGCCAUGAAAGCUUACAAAUACUUUUUGUGCUGCUGAUUAGAUAUGUUUGGAAUGUGCAGUUAUGUAAAGCUAUAUUUUGGAUGCAGUUAGUUUGUAAAGCUAUAUUUUGGAUGUACAUUUAUCAGAUGUUUUCUCUUACCCCACAACUACAAGGUUUUGUUCAGUCUGGUGAAAUGUCAUAUUUUGGAUGUAUAGAGCUUGUUCUCUGCUGAAUAUUUGCUCUGUUUUUUUUUCUUUUUUUUUCCUGUUUAGUUAAUGGGGUAUACCCCAUUUCCUUUUUAACUUGUAAGCUGGACUGGUGGUUCACCAAUCAGACUUGUGGGUUGCCUAUGUUUUUUAUCUUAAUAUAUAUAAUCUUUUUGGUA